rnacentral:rRNA from 1 species
GGAGGCUCGUAGCGAUACUGACGUGCAAAUCGUUCGUCUCGAUUUGAGUAUAGGGGCGAAAGACUAAUCGAAUCAUCUGGUAGCUGGUUUUCUCCGAAAAUUUUCCCCUCAGGGAUAGGCUGACAUUGAUUAAUGUACAAUUUUUAUAACGUAAAGCGCAUGAUUAGAAGUAUCUGGGUUGAAAUAAUUUAGACUGAUUCUCAAACUUUGAAGUCGUAAGAAUUAAUAGUACCAUUUUGAUCUAUACUAUUAAUUAAAUGGAACAAUGUUUAGUGGGCCAUUUUUGGUAAGCAGAACUGGCGAUGCGGGAUGAACCGAAAGUUAAGUUAAAGUGUCGAAAUAUAAGCUAAUUUAGAUAUCAUAAAAAGGUGUUGAUUUUAUAUAGACAGCAGGACGGUGGUCAUGGAAGUCGAUAUCCGCUAAGAAGUGUGCAACAACAUACCUGCCAAAUGAAUUGGCCCUGAAAAUCGAUGACGCUCAAGCUUAAUACUUAAACUUAACCGUUAUUGCGAAUUAAUUAGCUUUAACGAGUAGGAGG